rnacentral:rRNA from 1 species
AACGAACGCUGGCGGCAGGCUUAACACAUGCAAGUCGAGCGCCCCGCAAGGGGAGCGGCAGACGGGUGAGUAACGCGUGGGAACGUACCUUUUGGUUCGGAACAACUCCGGGAAACUGGAGCUAAUACCGGAUAAGCCCUAACGGGGAAAGAUUUAUCGCCGAAAGAUCGGCCCGCGUCUGAUUAGCUAGUUGGUGAGGUAACGGCUCACCAAGGCGACGAUCAGUAGCUGGUCUGAGAGGAUGAUCAGCCACACUGGGACUGAGACACGGACCAGACUCCUACGGGAGGCAGCAGUGGGGAAUAUUGGACAAGGGGCGCAAGCCUGAUCCAGCCAUGCCGCGUGAGUGAUGAAGGCCUUAGGGUUGUAAAGCUCUUUUGUCCGGGAAGAUAAUGACUGUACCGGAAGAAUAAGCCCCGGCUAACUUCGUG